AGCGAACGCUGGCGGCAUGCUUAACACAUGCAAGUCGCACGAAGGUUUCGGCCUUAGUGGCGGACGGGUGAGUAACGCGUAGGAAUCUAUCCAUGGGUGGGGGAUAACACUGGGAAACUGGUGCUAAUACCGCAUGAUACCUGAGGGUCAAAGGCGCAAGUCGCCUGUGGAGGAGCCUGCGUUCGAUUAGCUAGUUGGUGGGGUAAAGGCCUACCAAGGCGAUGAUCGAUAGCUGGUUUGAGAGGAUGAUCAGCCACGCUGGGACUGAGACACGGCCCGGACUCCUACGGGAGGCAGCAGUGGGGAAUAUUGGACAAUGGGGGCAACCCUGAUCCAGCAAUGCCGCGUGUGUGAAGAAGGUCUUCGGAUUGUAAAGCACUUUCGACGGGGACGAUGAUGACGGUACCCGUAGAAGAAGCCCCGGCUAACUUCGUGCCAGCCGCCGCUGUAAAAC
rnacentral:rRNA from 1 species